rnacentral:rRNA from 1 species
UAACGAAUCUUCCGCAAUGCACGAAAGUGUGACGGAGCGACGCCGCGUGUGGGAUGAAGUUCUUCGGAAUGUAAACCACUGUCAGGGGUUAGAAAGUUCUGAUCAACCCCAGAGGAAGGCACGGCUAACUCUGUGCCAGCAGCCGCGGUAAGACAGAGGUGCCAAGCGUUAGGCGGAAUCACUGGGCUUAAAGCGUGUGUAGGCGGACUGGUAAGUACUUUGUGAAAUCCCACGGCUUAACCGUGGAACUGCUUGGUAUACUGCCCGUCUUGAGCUACCUAGGGGCGAGCGGAACAAAUGGUGGAGCGGUGAAAUGCGUAGAUAUCAUUUGGAACGCCAAUGGUGAAAACAGCUCGCUGGGGGUAUGCUGACGCUGAGACACGAAAGCCAGGGGAGCAAACGGGAUUAGAUACCCCCGUAGUCC